AUACGUAGGUGGCGAGCGUUAUCCGGAUUUAUUGGGCGUAAAGCGUCCGCAGCCGGUUUUGUAAGUCUAGAAUAAAAGCCUGGGGCUCAACCCCAGUUCGUUUUAGAAACUGCAAGGCUAGAGUGUGGUAGAGGCAAAUGGAAUUUCUAGUGUAGCGGUAAAAUGCGUAGAUAUUAGAAGGAACACCAGUGGCGAAGGCGAUUUGCUGGGCCAUCACUGACGGUCAGGGACGAAAGCGUGGGGAGC
rnacentral:rRNA from 1 species